rnacentral:rRNA from 1 species
UAAUGUAUUUAUUAUUUAUUUGAGUAGUAUUAGUUAUGAUCUUGAAACUUAAAAAAUUUGGCGGUAUUUUAUUCUAUUCAGAGGAACCUGUAUAUUAAUUGAUAUUCCACGUUGAAUCUUACUUAAAUUUGUUUUAGUUUAUAUAUCGUCGUUAUAAGAAUAUUUUUUAAAAAUUAAUAAUUUUCUUUAAUUUAUAUAAAAAUUUAUAUCAGAUAAAGGUGUAGCUUAUAUUUAAGUUUUAUUAUGGGUUACAAUAAAUUWAUUUAAAUGAAUAUAAAAUUGAAAUAUUUUAUUGAAAGUGGAUUUGAUAGUAAAAUAAUAUAGAUAAAUUAUUUGAUUUUAGCUAUAAAAUAUG